GACGGAGGGUGCAAGCGUUGUUCGGAAUUACUGGGCGUAAAGGGCGCGUAGGCGGUCUGUUAAGUUCGGUGUGAAAGCCCCCGGCUCACCUGGGGAACUGCGCCGGAAACCGACAGACUCGAGUACCGGAGAGGAGGGUGGAAUUCCUGGUGUAGCGGUGAAAUGCGUAGAUAUCAGGAGGAACACCGGUGGCGAAGGCGGCCCUCUGGACGGAUACUGACGCUGGAGGCGCGAAA
rnacentral:rRNA from 1 species